rnacentral:rRNA from 1 species
GGCCGCGGGAAUUCGAUUCAGGCCUAACACAUGCAAGUCGAGCGGUAGAGAGAAGCUUGCUUCUCUUGAGAGCGGCGGACGGGUGAGUAAUGCCUAGGAAUCUGCCUGGUAGUGGGGGAUAACGUUCGGAAACGGACGCUAAUACCGCAUACGUCCUACGGGAGAAAGCAGGGGACCUUCGGGCCUUGCGCUAUCAGAUGAGCCUAGGUCGGAUUAGCUAGUUGGUGAGGUAAUGGCUCACCAAGGCUACGAUCCGUAACUGGUCUGAGAGGAUGAUCAGUCACACUGGAACUGAGACACGGUCCAGACUCCUACGGGAGGCAGCAGUGGGGAAUAUU